AGUCCUCGCGGUGAGUGCACAGUUACCUCUGUGAGUUUGCAACUGCAGCAACCUCACCAGGCAGCCCGCACCACAUUCAUCCAUCAGACCUACGUCCCUGCCCUGGUUUCUCCGAACCUUUGCUGGGCGGGCCGGGAAUCUGUGCAGGUGGCUAAUGUGGACAAUAGGCUUUUGCCUUGAGCAGCUGUCUGAGAGGAGCUGACAUUUCCGUCGCAGCCUCAUGUCAAACAUGAGAAAGGAGCUUUGUCCUUCCUCGGUGCCACCACAGCUCCAUGACAGAGACCCACGGAGACAAAGAAAAGGAAGGGGCAAGGACCUGUGGUCAGCCCAGGCAGCGCUGCUCACAGAGCUUGCCAGCUGUGCCUCUAAUGGUCAUCUGUUCACCUGCCCUCAUCUCCCGGCUUCUUAUUUACUGUUUUUUUAUCUGGCCAGACAUCAGAUGACCACACGUCUUAGAAUUACAUGCACAAGAAGAACAGGAAGACCAAGAGCCAAGAGCCUAUACCGUCUGUACUAAAACCAAGACACG